UACGGAGGAUCCAAGCGUUAUCCGGAUUUAUUGGGUUUAAAGGGUGCGUAGGCGGCUUAUUAAGUCAGGGGUGAAAGACGGUGGCUCAACCAUCGCAGUGCCCUUGAUACUGAUGAGCUUGAAUACACUAGAGGUAGGCGGAAUGUGACAAGUAGCGGUGAAAUGCAUAGAUAUGUCACAGAACACCGAUUGCGAAGGCAGCUUGCUAUGGUGUGAUUGACGCUGAGGCACGAAAGCGUGGGGAUCAAACAGG
rnacentral:rRNA from 1 species